UUAUCCUUGACUCGGCGUGUUUAGUUAGCAGGGAUUUAUUUAUUUGCGCCCAUUGACUCUGAACUCAAAAUUUCGAAGUUGGGCUACAUAUUUUUUUCAAUGUUCCAAGGGGGGAAAUAAACAAAGGUCUUACGUCAUAUUGUGAGAGGGGAAACCGAGGAAAGACAGAGGCACUCUUUGAAAAGGUUUUAAACGGGGGAUUGUCAACGAUGAACUAAAGGGACGGGACUACCGUGUAUGCAUUAUUUCUUGAAGGAAUCCGUUUGUCCAAGUGCAGAGGGGAAAUCCUUUCCGGAUCCUCCACCAGCACCAGCCAGUCCUCCAAGCCCUGCACAGCAAGAGCUGCUGCAGCUGUGUGAUGCUGUCGGGACGGGGCGCAAAUACCCCUUUCUCUGUGUUUGCUUAGCACCGGCUUUCAGCCCUCGUUGCUUUGCUGGGAGUCCGAACGUGGUUUAUAGCGCUGUACUGGAGCAUUUCUUCUUAUUGAUGAUUCUUAUGAUGAUUAUGAAAUACACCAUUUUAAUCAGACGUGGCCUACCUUUAUAGACUGAAAAUAUUAAUUGGCUAUUGUCAAUACUACAUUCUUUAUUGGCUAUUGAUACAGCCGGGGUAGUAUUGACUUGGCACAUGGUCUUGGGAGGAAUUAAGUGUUUGUCAAAGAUAGCAAGAAUGAGAUCGAGAGGGGCAGAAUAGAAAAUGGGGAUGAAGAUUAUACGAGAUGAUUAGGCCUACGCAUGCAGGACCGAAGACUGUUUAUUUUGGACAAGAGUUAUCUGAUUAUUUGUUUUUGUUAAAAGUCUAGAAAUCUGCUUAUUUUCUAAAAAAUAAAAGUUCCUGAAUUUAAACCCAGUGCAUACACAUUUUUGUUUAGAACCAUCCGAACAAUCCAGUCCUAUCUACCUACUACACUAACUCUUUC